UACGUAGGGCGCAAGCGUUGUUCGGAUUUACUGGGCGUACAGGGAGCGUAGGCGGUUGGAUAAGCCCUCCGUGAAAUCUCCAGGCUUAACCUGGAAAGUGCAGAGGGGACUGUUCAGCUAGAGGAUGGGAGAGGAGCGCGGAAUUCCCGGUGUAGCGGUGAAAUGCGUAGAGAUCGGGAGGAAGGCCGGUGGCGAAGGCGGCGACCUGGGUAGAUACUGACGCUGAGGUGCGAAAGCGUGGGGAGCAAACAGG
rnacentral:rRNA from 1 species